UGGGACUGAGACACGGCCCAGACUCCUACGGGAGGCAGCAGUGGGGAAUAUUGCACAAUGGGCGCAAGCCUGAUGCAGCGACGCCGCGUGAGGGAUGACGGCCUUCGGGUUGUAAACCUCUUUCGCCAGGGACGAAGCGCAAGUGACGGUACCUGGAUAAGAAGCACCGGCUAACUACGUGCCAGCAGCCGCGGUAAUACGUAGGGUGCGAGCGUUGUCCGGAAUUAUUGGGCGUAAAGAGCUCGUAGGCGGUUUGUCGCGUCGGCCGUGAAAUCUCCACGCUUAACGUGGAGCGUGCGGUCGAUACGGGCAGACUUGAGUUCGGCAGGGGAGACUGGAAUUCCUGGUGUAGCGGUGAAAUGCGCAGAUAUCAGGAGGAACACCGGUGGCGAAGGCGGGUCUCUGGGCCGAUACUGACGCUGAGGAGCGAAAGCGUGGGGAGCGAACAGGAUUAGAUACCCUGGUAGUCCACGCUGUAAACGUUGGGCGCUAGGUGUGGGCGACAUUCCACGUUGUCCGUGCCGYAGCUAACGCAUUAAGCGCCCCGCCUGGGGAGUACGGCCGCAAGGCUAAAAC
rnacentral:rRNA from 1 species